GGCCUCUGGGUGUUUACCACAGGCUGUGUUCUUACACUGACUGUAUAGAAAGAGGAAGCAGAGUAAACCUACCCCCAUAUACACCUCAGCCCAGACCUGUGCCUAGUCUAUAUUGUGAAUGGGGAGACAAGG
ensembl:snoRNA